UCGGGCUUCGCCGAGCUCUUCUUUCCAGGGCCGGGGAGCCCUCGCUGUGGGCGGCAGGUGGCGAGGCCCUCCCCAGCUGCUACCGCAGCCUAGCCCUGCCCACGCGAGCCCACCCGAAUCCGUCAGCGCAGCGCUCCGCGCCUAAACCCGCACACCGGGUACCUGGCGCUGAGGUGGGGCGCACCGCCUUUCCACCGCCGCGUCAGGCAGGCCAGGUGCGCGCGCGUUCUGGGUGGGAGGAAGCUUUGUCAGUCCGCCACGGUGGAAAGUUGCUCGGCUCGCCGGACGGGAGUGUUCGGAUCAUCGCCGGACUCCCCUGCGAGUCCUACCCUGCGGCUGCAACGCUGCUCCUGAUAGAACAGGCGUUGGGCACCUUUCUAUCCUUUGACCGAACUGCCGCGUACUUUCGCGCCUUCUCUCUGGAAAUCUGGAGCGAGAUCUGACCGAGAGAUUAUGAAAGAGGAACUAGUGACUCGCGUGUUUCGGCGGUGUUGUCAGAGGGCACGAAAGGAUAACGUGGCCGGGGUCCGGCCAGCCCCUCUCUGCUUUGGGACCGGAGCUGUGCGGGAGGCUCGCUGGUCUUUUCCGUCGCCAGCAUUCGUGCUCGGAACCCACAGCUGCAAGCGAGGCCGCCCACCAUGCGGCUGAUGCUUCCUCAACUCUCUUCAGCGAGAUUUUGACAGGCGCGGGAGCCACACUGAAACCGAGACUCCUUUUACAACAUGUGGAACUUCAACAGCUAUUAGAAGAUCAGAUUUCUAACCUCAAUACCAGGUAUAUGUUUCUCCUCAAAAAAUGGUGGCCAUCAUGAAAUCCUUUAUAAAUUUGCUCUGAUGGUUUCCUAUUAAAACUGAUUCAAACAAAA